ACAGUCGCAGAGCAUGGAAGAAAAACAUUUCAGUUUAAGACUUUAACAAAGUAGUCGUGGUUGAUGUCUGAGUUUUGUUUAUGGAAUGAUGAACUGACCUAAAUAGAGAUGACCUAUUGUGAUUAUGUAUAUAGCCUGGGAUGACCAAAGUAAUUUCGAAAUCCAUGUUAAUCCAACUUUGGUGCUAGGUGAUACAAGGGGGAAACCAUAUUUUCUACCUGUAAUAUUUCUUCUGCUUCCCUUGAUCACUAUGAAACUUGGAUUCGUAUUUUCAGCAAUGUGGAAUCGCGUGGGUUUUUAUUGCUAUGCUCUAUUCUACAAGUUUUUGUGUUGAUUUGAUGACUUUUGUUGUGUGAGGUGAUUUGAAGUGCAAAGUUAAGACUGUAGUCUUGUUAACGUUUUACAGAAAUCCUUAUAUGUCUUUAAAAUGCCAUAUUCUGGACUUCAGCAAUUACUCCCUUUACAUCCAGGAAAUCAUGGUUAAUAAACAGGAAGGAUACAGACAACUGGAGAGUAGACGCUUAUGUGAAUUUUUUCAUGUUUCUUUUUUCACAACAGGUUCGAUUUUUUCAUGUUUCUUUUUUCAUAACAGGUUCGAUAUGUCAACCGAUAGAACUCGUUUGUUAAUUUAUGGAUGAUCGAAUUACUGAAAUUACGUAGCUUAUCUGACCUGUCUUCAUGUAGCUUAUCUCACUUUUGUUUUUACUCUUUAACUUAUACAGGCAUCACAUAAAGACCAAUGCAGGGAAGGAGUUGAUUUUUAUUGUAUCUCUGCAUUAUGGAUGUACUGUAUUCUGUAUAAGAACGAGUAAUGUUAAUCAUACAAUCAUUAAGUAUUAUUGUGCAUUAUCUUGUUUACGAGUUUAUAAUUAGAGUAGAUCAAUGGGUUGUGUCAAACCAAAUUUGGGCAGAUGUUGUGAUCAAAGUAUUCGUGUUUCAAAACGGCAAGAGUUUUUAAUAGAAAGUUAAUAAAGUUGGUUUAUGACAGUAAGGAAAGCACACGAUCUGAAAAAACACACAUGAUCAUGAAGAUGAUGAGUUGCAGUCUUGCAGAGCUGGUAGUUCCGCCAUCUUUGGUUCCGGUAUUUAUUCUUCUUUUCUCUUGUUUCCCGUUCAAUUUUGAUUUUCAAACCAAUAAAUGUGCAACACAUGACAAACUAUAAAAAUUAAAUAAAAAUAAAAAAUUAAAAAUAACCUUUUCAGCAAGUUGUUGGUUUUUGGGACCGAAGAGAGAGAACGUAUGUGAAAGUUGGGAAUAUUGUAGAAUACUCGAAUUUUGGAAUUAUUUAAGGUAAUUGGACGAACUUGAAAUUAUUAAAAUGAAUUUUUCCUAUAAAUUAAAUUUUAUCACGAAAUACUUUCUAAAUUAAUGAAAAAAAUUGAUGCAUUUGAUUUUUUUAAUGAUAAAUUAGGACUCGUUUAUUUAAUUAAGCCCGAUUCCCGUUCAAAAUUGAACUUAAACUCGAAGUGUAAAUGAAUAUAUUCGUGAACAAAGCUUGAAUAAGACAAAUUCUUAAUGAGUUCAGUUUGAAUAAGAUUUUUAAAAGCUCGUUCAAGCUCGAAAUUGUUUAACCCCGAAUAAUUCUUAUCAAGCUUAGCUCGAACAGAUUAAAACUCGACUCAACACGGAUUGUUUAUAGCUUUACUUGUGUUAAACCAAAUUUGGCCAAAUUUGUGAGUUUUGUGUUUUAAAAAAGCAAUAGUUCUGUAGUGAAAAAAGGAAAAAAAUAAAAUAAAAAAUAAAGCAACAGUGACAGUGUGAGCUGAAUGAACACCAAGAAGGCAAGAAGAUGAUGAGUUGCAGAGUUUGUAAUUCCGCCAUCUUUCAUUCUGGUAUUCCUUCUUCUUUUCUCUUGUUUUCCCCCUUUCAAUUUCAAUUUCGAUUUUAUUCUCGGCAUAAUCGAAUUCAUUAAGUUGUUGAUGACCGUGAAUCGUUUCUUCAAUCAGUUUCUGAACAAUCCAAAUUAGGGUUUUCUGAUCUUAAAUCCCCCCUUUCACUCUUCAAUCGUAUGAUUAAUUUGCGUCCUCUUCCUUCUCUUAUCCAAUUUACUCAGCUUUUUAACGCCAUUUCCAAAUUGAAACGCCUUGAACCUCAUUCCACCAUUAUCUCUCUCUUCCGGAAGAUUGAAUUACUUGGUAUUUCACAUGAUAUGCUUUCUUUAAGUGUUCUUGCUAAUUGCUACUGCCAUUUGGGCAGAGUUGAUUUCGGCUUUUCUCUACUUGGUAAAAUCAUUAAGCUUGGUUAUCCCCUUGAUUGUGUCAUUUUUAACACCUUAAUUAAUGGCUAUAUUCACUCUGAUAAGCUCCCUCAAGCUGCUCAUUUGUUGAAUCAAAUUGUCAAGCUUGGUUUCCAACCCGACUUAAUUAUGUAUAGUACUAUUGUCAAAGGACUUUGUAGGAUUGGCGACAAUACGUCUGCUCUCACUUUGCUUAACAAAAUGCAAUCUCGAUCUCAUUUUAAGCCUAACAUUGUUUUAUACAGCACUAUCAUCGAUAGUCUUUGUAAGGACAGGUUGUUACAACAGGCCCUGGACCUGUUCUCCUCCAUGAAAACUCAGGGCAUUAAACCCGAUGUUGUCACUUUUACUUCCUUGGUUCGAGGCCUCUACAAUUCCGGCUGUGGGGAUGAGGCUCAUCGUAUGUUGACUGAGAUGUUAGAGAGCAACAUUGCACCUAAUGUUAAGACCUACAGCAUGCUGGUUGACAUGUUUUGUAAAGAUGGCUGUGUUGAUCAAGCUCAGUCCAUUCUAAAGCAGAUGAUUGAGAAAGGUGUGACUCCUGACAUGAUUACUUACAGUGCAUUACUUGAUGGUUAUUGUUUGCGCGGUCAGAUGGAAGAUGCAGAGAACCUACUCGUUCUCAUGGCCGAAAAUGGUUGUGAGCCUGACCUUGUCAGUUUCAGCACUAUGAUUAAUGGAUAUUGCAAGGCUAAAAACAUUGACAAGGCCCUUAACAUUUUCCAAGAGAUUUUACAGAAAGGGAUAACACCUAAUGUUGUUACCUAUAACACUCUUAUUGAUGGACUGUGCAAAGCCAAUAGAUUCCCACUUGCACAUAAGCUGUUCAAAGAUAUGCGGGCUCAUGGAAUUGCUCCAGAUGUUGUCACCUAUGCCUCCUUGCUUGACAGCCUUUGCAAAAGUGCAAAGCUUGAUGAGGCAGUGAAAUUGCUUGAAGAAAUGGAGGAUAAUGGUGUUAAGCCAAAUGUUGUCAUCUACAAUAUCCUAAUAGACAACUUGUGUGAGUCUGGAAAACUUGAAGAUGCAGCAAAGUUCUUUUCAGAUCUUGUAACAAAAGGUCUGCAACCUGAUGUUAAAACAUACAAUAUACUGAUCAAAGGCUUCUGCAAGAAAGGGAUGAUGAGUGAAGCUGGUCAAGUGUUGAGGAUAAUGGAGGAAGAUGGUUGCCCCCCUGAUGAUCGAACCUAUAAUACGGUCAUCAGAGGUUAUAUUCUGAGUAAUGACUUAUCUAAUGCAUUAUACUAUCAUGAUAUAAUGGUUGGCAAGGGAUUUCAAGCUGAUGCAGACACUUUCUCAUUAUUUGUUGGCCUCUUGUCAUCUGAAAAUUUAAGUGACUCAAAGAAGGACCUGCUUCAGAUGUUUAUCUGUUAAGUUGCAGUUAAGAUGUAUGCAAAGCUUUUAUAGUGCUCUUCCAAGUGUUGUAUCUAAGGAGUUUGUAUUUUUGUAAAACGAAUGAUGGUAGUACCACACCAAUUUUGUCCUUCAGAAGAACCUGAAGCACUUGUGGAAUAUAUGCCAUGUAGUUCGUCCUCAGACUGAAGCUGUUUGUUAUGUUGGUAAGAAAAAAAGCAUAUUGCAAUCCUUCAAACAUUUAUGUAAAUAAGAGUGCUCUUUCUUAUGGUGCUGCUGGGUUAUAUACUGGAGAAGGGAUGUUGCCUGGCUGUUUAAAUCCUGUUUCUGGGGCUACUUCAUGCAAAAUGGGGGUGAAGAAUGGUGGGCUGGAAAUGUAUAUCAGAAACUGAUUCUUUUGAUAUUAAUGAUGAUGAUGAGGAGCAGUCAGAAUUCGAAGUCAAUGAACUGGUGUCUAGAUCAUCUGGAGAGUCUAUCAGGAGAAUGAGUGAGAAAUCAUUGAAUAAGGAAGUUAAGUUUGGCCGUCAGCAGACAUCCAAGUUACCUAAAGAUGAAAAGAAAAGGGGUGAAGGACUUUUCAAAGCUCGUGAAAUUUCACUUCACUUCAAAGCCUAAGGUUGAUACAUGUGCCUCUGAGAGAGAACAGUUGAUGAAAAUCCAUGAAGAGAAACUUAAGAUGAAGAAAUGGCACUAGGAAGAAGAAGAAUUGGAGAAGCAAUUUGCUGCUGCUCUGAGAUGCUUCUUGACUCAGAUUUAGAUGCUUCUUAUCACCUUAGAUGCAGUAAUCGUAGAAGUAAAACUAUAUCUUAUCUGCAUCCAGACACUUCAGGUUUUCAUUAUUGGCAUGGUAAAUUGGUAAGUAUAUCUAAAGCUAAAUGUAUUUUGUGGAAAAUAGAUCACUUUCGACACCAAUUAAGAUGCUUCUCUUAAACUCUAAAAUGCAGAAAUCUUAGAAGAAAACAAUUAUUUUUCUGUA